rnacentral:rRNA from 2 species
AAGUGCGAUCAUACCAGCACUAAUGCACCGGAUCCCAUCAGAACUCCGCAGUUAAGCGUGCUUGGGCAAGAGUUGUACUAGGAUGGGUGACCUCCUUGGAAGUCCUCGUUAUGCACCUC